rnacentral:rRNA from 1 species
AUUGAACGCUGGCGGCAGGCCUAACACAUGCAAGUCGAGCGGAUGAAGGGAGCUUGCUCCUGGAUUCAGCGGCGGACGGGUGAGUAAUGCCUAGGAAUCUGCCUGGUAGUGGGGGAUAACGUCCGGAAACGGGCGCUAAUACCGCAUACGUCCUGAGGGAGAAAGUGGGGGAUCUUCGGACCUCACGCUAUCAGAUGAGCCUAGGUCGGAUUAGCUAGUUGGUGGGGUAAAGGCCUACCAAGGCGACGAUCCGUAACUGGUCUGAGAGGAUGAUCAGUCACACUGGAACUGAGACACGGUCCAGACUCCUACGGGAGGCAGCAGUGGGGAAUAUUGGACAAUGGGCGAAAGCCUGAUCCAGCCAUGCCGCGUGUGUGAAGAGGUCUUCGGAUUGUAAAGCACUUUAAGUUGGGAGGAAGGGCAGUAAGUUAAUACCUUGCUGUUUUGACGUUACCAACAGAAUAAGCACCGGCUAACUUCGUG